GCUUCGAGCCCAAGCAAUUCUCUGUAGCUGUGCACUCGAGCGUUGGAGCGAACUCAUACAAGCCAGAGAUUACUGUAGACUUGGAAGACUAUGGGUGCAGAGAGAGGACAUUUGAGUCUCUAGGAGAAGAGAGUGGAACAGUGAUGUAUCAGACGUUUGAGAAGCUUGGUAAGUACUGUGGAUCGCCUAGAUCUACCUUGAAGUGUGAAUGGAGCAGCAACAAUAGCUGCAGCAGCGAGGACGAGAAGGACGAGGGAAUCUAGCAGAAUUUUUCUUCCUAAUAACUAUUUUCGAGCUUUCUGUUUUUGUUCUUUCUUUUUAAAAAACUUAUUAAGUUCUUAUGAAUAAUGACUUGUGAAGUUUGAGUUCGUCUCCUUCACAAGCAAGUUGUAUUGGUGUUUUCUACUUUAUGAAUAUGGGUUUUAUAUACCUAAAGACUUGUUAUGUUAUUAUUCUUAAAUGUUGCUGCUAUGAUGAUUACUAUUAUCGAUUUUUACUAUUAUAUUUGUUUUUUUUAACGAUUCGUUGAAAAAUAAACGAGAUUGACACUAAUGUAGCAAAAUGUGCAAUAUUAUCUUCAAAACAUUACAAAAUUCAGUUGUCUUAAUCUUUUUAUUUCCGAUGACAAAUUAUGGUUACGUAAAUAGUACUAUAUUAAAAAAAAAAGAAAAAAAAAGACGAAAAUAAAACAAAAAGGGAGAAUU
rnacentral:sRNA from 1 species